GAGUUUGAUUGACCAGUUAAAAAAGAAAAAAUAGUGGGGAAAUAAAAGGAAAGUAAAUGUUUAAGGGAUAUUUUGUAAUACUUUUUAAAUCUGUAAUACCUUUUAUACUCAUUUAUUUCUUUGAUCAUCCAGGUUGGACAAACAUUUUUGUGGUUUCAGUGGGAUAUUUUAUUGAUGGAAGUAGGAUUUUUAACUGUAUUAGUUGCUCCUUUUGGUCAUGUUCCCUCAAGUUCAUCAUUCAGUCAUCAUGACGGCAUCACAUUUUGGCUYGUGAAAUGG